CGGGACACGUGGUAUCCUGUCUGAAUAUGGGGGGACCAUCCUCCAAGGCUAAAUACUCCUGACUGACCGAUAGUGAACCAGUACCGUGAGGGAAAGGCGAAAAGAACCCCGGCGAGGGGAGUGAAAAAGAACCUGAAACCGUGUACGUACAAGCAGUGGGAGCACGCUUCGGCGUGUGACUGCGUACCUUUUGUAUAAUGGGUCAGCGACUUAUAUUCUGUAGCAAGGUUAACCGAAUAGGGGAGCCGAAGGGAAACCGAGUCUUAACUGGGCGUUAAGUUGCAGGGUAUAGACCCGAAACCCGGUGAUCUAGCCAUGGGCAGGUUGAAGGUUGGGUAACACUAACUGGAGGACCGAACCGACUAAUGUUGAAAAAUUAGCGGAUGACUUGUGGCUGGGGGUGAAAGGCCAAUCAAACCGGGAGAUAGCUGGUUCUCCCCGAAAGCUAUUUAGGUAGCGCCUCGUGAAUUCAUCUCCGGGGGUAGAGCACUGUUUCGGCAAGGGGGUCAUCCCGACUUACCAACCCGAUGCAAACUGCGAAUACCGGAGAAUGUUAUCACGGGAGACACACGGCGGGUGCUAACGUCCGUCGUGAAGAGGGAAACAACCCAGACCGCCAGCUAAGGUCCCAAAGUCAUGGUUAAGUGGGAAACGAUGUGGGAAGGCCCAGACAGCCAGGAUGUUGGCUUAGAAGCAGCCAUCAUUUAAAGAAAGCGUAAUAGCUCACUGGUCGAGUCGGCCUGCGCGGAA
rnacentral:rRNA from 1 species